rnacentral:rRNA from 1 species
AGCGAACGCUGGCGGCAGGCUUAACACAUGCAAGUCGAGCGGGCAUCUUCGGGUGUCAGCGGCGGACGGGUGAGUAACGCGUGGGCACGUGCCUUCUGGUUCGGCAUAACUGAGGGAAAGUUGAGAUAAUACCAGAUACGCCCUUUUGGGGAAAGGUUUACUGCCGGAAGAUCGGCGCGCGUCUGAUUAGCUAGUUGGUGGGGUAACGGCCUACCAAGGCUACGAUCAGUAGCUGGUCUGAGAGGAUGAUCAGCCACACUGGGACUGAGACACGGCCCAGACUCCUACGGGAGGCAGCAGUGGGGAAUAUUGGACAAUGGGGGCAACCCUGAUCCAGCCAUGCCGCGUGAGUGAUGAAGGCCUUAGGGUUGUAAAGCUCUUUUAUCCGGGACGAUAAUGACGGUACCGGAAGAAUAAGCCCCGGCUAACUUCGUGCCAGCAGCCGCAGUAA